rnacentral:rRNA from 1 species
GUGUCAGCAGCCGCGGUAAUACGUAGGGGGCGAGCGUUGUCCGGAUUCAUUGGGCGUAAAGCGCUUUAAGGCGGUUCGCUAAGUCGCGUGUGAAACCUCCAGGCUCAACCUGGAGACGCCACGCGAUACUGGCGUGACUAGAGUUCGGUAGGGGAUCACGGAAUUCCUGGUGUAGCGGUGAAAUGCGCAGAUAUCAGGAGGAACACCGGUGGCGAAGGCGGUGAUCUGGGCCGACACUGACGCUGUAGAGCGAAAGCGUGGGGAGCGAACAGGAUUAGAAACCCCGGUAGUCC